UGCUCUCCGUCGUUCUCCGCCCAGCCCCACCCUGUCGCGUUGGCUGCCCUGAUGGAUGACGUCAGCAGGCUCACUUGUCCUCAGGGUUUGGUUCAGUCAGGGGAAGCUACCAGCAGAGACCGAAGGACAGGAAGAGACAGUCGGGGUGUCUAUUGCCAGCCCCCUUUCUGCACGGCCUCAGGCUCCCAGAAGCCAGAGCUCUGAGGAUACAUUCCUGUUGCUGAAGCAGCCCAGUGAGUGGCCCCCGGAGACUCACACAGCGUGCAAGGCUCCUAGCCUACACCCACAUUCCAGACAGCGAAAGGGAAGGGCAAGCAUGUGCUUUAUCUUUAAACACCCAACCUGGAAUCUGCAUACAUCUCUUCUGACCGAGGUCAGAAAUCAGCUCCUGGCCUCCCCUGGGCUGCCCAGGAGCCUGGAAAUGCCCUCUGCGCAAGGAGAACGUCUGGUAUCAUAAAAGAAAGGAAGUAUGGGUAUUGGGGGCAGCUACAGGUCUCUGGCACCAAAUACCACAAACGUUUUCAGAUGUGAGCGGCAAGAAACCCCGCCUAAGGGAAACAGUGAGGACAGGUCCCCUCUCCCAGGACUUGACUUCAAGUCCAGAGGCCAGGUGAGCAGGGGGUUUCGGUGGCUCCGCCCGACCCCCCGCUGCUGGCUGCCUCCUGGGGCUGGAUGUCACAUGGCUGUCAGUGCCAAGCCAGAAAACAGGAAUCUCAAUUUAAUUCAGGGAAUUGGCUCCCCAGGGGACGGAAGUGCUGAGAAGCCAGCAGGAAAGGUGGAGGAACCCAGAGACUAGCUGAGCUACUCCCGGGAUGGAGGGAUAGAGGAAGGGGGUGCUGUUGGCAGGAGGGCAGGAGCCAGAGCAACAAGCAAAAGCGGGGCCCUGCCCAGGCCCGUCCAGUGGGAGCCAUGGAGGAGGUGUAGGGAGACACUAGCCUCGUUUUUCUCUUCCUCCAGCCUUCCUGCCUCCCACCAGUGCCUCCAACCCAUUGGCUGAACGCAGCUGGAGACCAGCUGUCAUGGUACCUGGGAAAUCCAGCUCAUAGGAGUCAGUUCCC
rnacentral:lncRNA from 1 species